GAGUUUGAUCUUGGCUCAGAUUGAACGCUGGCGGCAGGCCUAACACAUGCAAGUCGAGCGGAUGACGGGAGCUUGCUCCUUGAUUCAGCGGCGGACGGGUGAGUAAUGCCUAGGAAUCUGCCUGGUAGUGGGGGACAACGUUUCGAAAGGAACGCUAAUACCGCAUACGUCCUACGGGAGAAAGCAGGGGACCUUCGGGCCUUGCGCUAUCAGAUGAGCCUAGGUCGGAUUAGCUAGUUGGUGGGGUAAUGGCUCACCAAGGCGACGAUCCGUAACUGGUCUGAGAGGAUGAUCAGUCACACUGGAACUGAGACACGGUCCAGACUCCUACGGGAGGCAGCAGUGGGGAAUAUUGGACAAUGGGCGAAAGCCUGAUCCAGCCAUGCCGCGUGUGUGAAGAAGGUCUUCGGAUUGUAAAGCACUUUAAGUUGGGAGGAAGGGCAGUAAGUUAAGUACCUUGCUGUUUUGACGUUACCGACAGAAUAAGCACCGGCUAACUCUGUGCCAGCA
rnacentral:rRNA from 1 species